GGGGGCAAGCGUUGUUCGGAAUUACUGGGCGUAAAGGGCGCGUAGGCGGCCUGUUAAGUCGAACGUGAAAUCCCCGGGCUCAACCCGGGAACUGCGUCCGAUACUGGCAGGCUUGAAUCCGGGAGAGGGAUGUGGAAUUCCAGGUGUAGCGGUGAAAUGCGUAGAUAUCUGGAGGAACACCGGUGGCGAAGGCGGCAUCCUGGACCGGUAUUGACGCUGAGGCGCGAAAGCCAGGGGAGCAAACGGG
rnacentral:rRNA from 1 species